rnacentral:lncRNA from 1 species
UUUUCUUUUGUAACUUUCUAGUCUAUGCAGGCUUCCUUGCCUUACUUUCCUUUUUUAUGCGGUGAUUCUACUCACUAUACCCGCACCACUAGUAUUUAGUAGCCUAUAAAGAAGUUUAUAGAUUAACCAAACUACCAAAGUUAAUUAUCUUGUUUGAUUUUCAUGGUCCAACACCGAGAGGAGAAAAAUGCAAUAUCAUAGGCAUAUGAAAAGAAUAUAUCAAUAUUAAUUUGGUAUCAUAGUUCUUGUUUUCUACAAACUUGGUCAAACUUUGCACUGUUUGACUUCAGAACAAAAUUUAUGUCUUCUUUUCAGAUAUCGGAGGGAGUACAAUAUAUUCAGGAAUUCAUUUCAAAUUUGCGAGUGGUGACAAAUAAAUAUAGUUCUAGACUUCUAGUUACAUGUUUUCAAAAGAAGUUAUUCUCUUCUAGUUACAUAAUGUUGAUCUUGAUUUGACAUUUUUCUUUAUGAUGUUAGUGUGUAUAGUGUUCCACUUGUUGGACGCAAGAUACUGACCAACUAGUUUCACCUCUGAAUGCAGAGUCAAUGCACAACAGCGAAAGUUGUGCCUCAACAUGAUUCUCGCUCUUAUAUUUGUGGAUUAAUAGUGCUCGUUGAGAAGAUCGUCUUCUGCCAUGUGUACCAACUCCAUUAUCUGGUUUUCAGAAUUUUGCUUGGAUGUUUCAGUGGAUAGAUGGAGCCAUUGAGGUGUCAGUUUGCUGAUGUAAUCAAGCUAUAUGCUUGGAUGGCUGCUAUGGCCUAUAUACGGCACACCAUUUUUUUCUUGAAUGACAUGAGUAUACUAAACCAAUGAAGUGGAAGAAUUGUUCUGUUAAGCCCAUGGACCAUAGCAUACAGUAGAAGCUUAUGGUGUGGCACUUCGCUGCGCCAGUUUCUCGCUGACGCAUCACGCAUGAUCUCAAUUAAAUACUCCCUCCGUCCUAAAAUAAGUGUCACUGAUUUAGUACAGAUUUGUAACUUUUGUACUAAAUCAGGGAGUACAAUGUCGGAGAAAAAUUAGAACGGCCAAGAUGUAGUACAUUACAAUCGAACUUUCAGUGAUCCUGACAAGCAUAGGUUGCUGAAACCUGGAACAUCUUGCAACUUUCUAGCAGCAGAAUGAUCCAUACAUUGUUUUUCUGUAUCCUUAUUAUAUGUUUCGCUAACCCCAGUAAUAACCCCAGUAAAAUAAAUCAUAUGAAAUGAAUAGACUAACUUACAGUUUUUGCGGCAAUGAUGGCCGUCCAAUUGUAACAGCACUUCUGCUUGGGUAGAACUUAAUACCAUUCAGAUAUAUAAAAAAGUCACUGUACAUCUGGUAGAUCAACAAUCAAUAGGCAUAUACAAAUUCAGCUGAUAAAUAUGAAACAAUUUGAAACAGAGAGCGAUUUAAUUAACUUUGAAACAGAGAACGGUUCAAUUAACUUUGGAUGGCUGUAGUAUUUCUUACACAACACUCAUGGCACUUCAGUCCAUGCUACAGGAUUACACAAUAUACACUUCUAGCAUCAACCGAAGAAGCAUGCUAUUUGUAAUUUUAAGCACUGAAAUGAAGUUUUUUUUUAUUGAAACUACCAAUUUAUUUAGAUUUUUAUACGUGAACGGUGAACUAAAGCUAGAGAAGGCAUAAUUAAUUAUGGCUUUGCUCUAGCUAUGCAAGUAAGUUUAUUUUUCAUAGUGGUGAAAUGCCGUACAGAUGCUAAUUCCCUUGGAAAUCAAAUGGCUUCUUGUCUCUUCCAAUUGGGAGUGAACGGAAAAUGUGAAAGUAUUAGCACGUGAAACUGCACCAGAUAAUCCUGCAAGACAAACAACAUAACUAACCAGCCUAAGCAGUCGAACAAAAAACAGUUCUCUUUUGUUAUACAUCAGACACUUUUCCGAAGAAGUGAUACUUCCUCAUACAUAUAGAUCAGACGUGUCCAUCGAAAUAUGUACUAAAUAGAAAAAAUGACAAAUUAGUGCACAGUUUAAUAUAUAUGUUCCAUCUGUUCACUGCGACUAAAACCUGAUCGUAAGGUUCAGGUUGUUUUAUUUAAGUUUGUUGUAGAUGGUCAUACAUAUAAUAGGUUGAAAUACACGGUGAAUUUGUUUGUGAUGUACUUUUACCUCGUUUGAUGCAAUGAUCUCACCUAGAGGCGCUGAUGUUUACUUCUAAUGUCCUCAAAACUUGUACUAGGUCAACAUGAACCAAUUAUAGUACUAGCUGAUGCGAUAUAUGCUGCCCGGAUAGCUAAAGUGGGCAGCGUCUGAAGACGGUAACUUUGCAGGUGUGGAGCUUUCAGCUGACGAGGUAGCUUUUGUUUCAAGUUAUACUUGCUUAUGACAAUUGGUGCAGAUGAACCUUUUGAGCUCUUUGUUGUGUUAUGCCAAACAUGUCCCUGUGAAUCAUUUCUGUGCAUGCCACUCUUACCAUCAUUAGUGUUUCCCUCUGAAGUUUCACUUAUUCCUUUUUCAGAACCUGUCUUGGCCCAGGGGCUUUGGAACUUCCAGAGGUGUCAAAAGGAAGAACGUCGCUGUUCCUUUAGGUGAAAAAAGACGACACCGUAACAAAGCAGCAGAAAAAUAAUAACACAACACGGUGGCAUGCCACUGUGUAGGGUUUCUUUCUGUUCGGUCGAGUAUAAGCUCACUGCUGAUUUUGUUCUUCUGUUGGUUUCCUUUGGUUUAAAUGAGCAUGAGAGAUGUUCUUGGCUGUCACUGCCUUGUUUCUGUUGAAACCGACUCUGGCUGUGAGUCGUUAGUUCUUGGCUGUCUAGUGCCUUCAGCUCUCUAUCCAUUGUACAAGAACUUGUCAGCUUGCAAAUGUGUUAAGAUCAAUGCUGGCCUACUUCAUCAACAGUGAUCAUUCAUGCGUUUUUAUUUUUCAGGUUGUUGAGAGGUACUGCCGAAACGUUCAAACAGUGGCGGCUCCAGGAAAUGAAGGCUGGGUAUUCACCCAUUUUUUUUUUUUUGCUCUAAACAUAGUAUAUGAACCAAACAACAGACCACAAGCAAUAUAUGAACAAAACAAUACUAGGAUAAUGGCAGUAGCAAUAUUUCAAUGUAUCAGACCAUAACAACAUGAAUACAUAAGUACCUUUUGAUUGAUAAAGUGAUGAUAUCCUUCUUACAAUAUAACUUUGCGGUCGCCUUUCUGGAAGAGAUUGAUGACAUCUUCAUCCUUCACUUGAUUGAAAAAUUCUCUCUCAACAAAUGUAACCAAACAAUUGUUCAAAUAUUCAUCACCCAUUUUGUUCCUUAACUUAUUCUUCACAUAGCUCAUUAAAGAGAAUACCCUUUCAACACUAGCAGUAGCUACUGGGAGAAUCAAUACCAACUUAAGAAGCUUGUAAACAAUAUGAUAUAGUUCAUGCUUGUUUGUCUCAACAAGCAUAACUGAAAGCUGACACAGAUUUUUCAGGUUUUGAAACCUUUCAUCUCUACGCACAUUAAUAACAUACAUGUUUAGUUGCCAUGGAAGUCUUGCCAGUUCAUCACUUGUAAAAUCGGAAGCAUAAAACUUUGUAGCAAGCCUAACCAACUUCUCUUGUGCCAAGCAGCAAAUAGAUGAAGUGGACAAAAUGCUGCCAUGCAAGAAAGUAGCUCCGUCGAUAAAAGCUAAACCAAACAGGGCCUUAGUAGUCUCUUGUGCACAACAUUUGAUCACCUCUUGUUGUAUAUCAUGGUGAGUCAUCUUGCAGUUCUGUGGAGCAUUCUUGAGAACAACCCUGUCAACCUCUUCAAAAUUUCCUGCUAGCCAAUUUAGAAGCUCAAGGAAAUUUCCUUUAUUUAGCGAGUCUUCACUUUCAUCAUGCCCCCUAAAUGCCAAGCCUUGGCUCAAUAGAAAUCUCACACAGACGGCGGCGCAGGAGAGGGCCGGCCGGACCUGGGCGCUGGAGCAGUGUCGCCGCUGCCUUCAGGCUUCAGUGCUCGAAGAGGGGAAAGGGGAUCGAUUUGGGAUUGGGGAGGGAGACGAGCAGUGGCUGCAGACGAGUCGCGCGCCUAACCAGACGCCCGCUCGGCCGUGUCUCGCUUCGUGCGUUUUUUUUAGGGAUAAGCUAAGCUUUAUUGAUGUAGUGGGAUACAAUUCGGAUCGUGGGGAUUGGCCAACCAAACGUGGCGUCCCGGACCGAGAGUAAGAGAGUGCUUAGCUAAACUAUGGGCCUCACCAUUGACGGCUCGCCCCUCAAAAAUAAAAUUAUAAUGAAAACUAGUGUUGGGUUUCGUAGUAAUUUCAAAAAAAUUCCUACGCUCACGCAAGAUCAUGGUGAUGCAUAUCAACGAGAGGGGAGAGUGUGAUCUACGUACCCUUGUAGAUCGACAACGGAAGCGUUUGGUUGAUGUAGUCGUACGUCUCCACGGCCCGACCGAUCAAGCACCGAAACUACGGCACCUCCGAGUUCUAGCACACGUUCAGCUCGAUGACGAUCCCCGGACUCCGAUCCAGCAAAGUGUCGGGGAAGAGUUCCGUCAGCACGACGGCGUGGUGACGAUCUUGAUGUACUACCGUNNNNNNNNNNNNNNNNNNNNNNNNNNNNNNNNNNNNNNNNNNNNNNNNNNNNNNNNNNNNNNNNNNNNNNNNNNNNNNNNNNNNNNNNNNNNNNNNNNNNNNNNNNNNNNNNNNNNNNNNNNNNNNNNNNNNNNNNNNNNNNNNNNNNNNNNNNNNNNNNNNNNNNNNNNNNNNNNNNNNNNNNNNNNNNNNNNNNNNNNNNNNNNNNNNNNNNNNNNNNNNNNNNNNNNNNNNNNNNNNNNNNNNNNNNNNNNNNNNNNNNNNNNNNNNNNNNNNNNNNNNNNNNNNNNNNNNNNNNNNNNNNNNNNNNNNNNNNNNNNNNNNNNNNNNNNNNNNNNNNNNAGGGGGGAAAAGAGAGAGGGGGGCCGGCCCCCUCUCCUUGUCCUAUUCGGACCAAGGGAGGGGAGGGGCGCGCGGCCCAUCUUGGGCUGCCCCUUCUCUUUUCCACUAAGGCCCACUUAGGCCCAUAUAGCUCCCGGGGGGUUCCGGUAACCUCCCGGUACUCCGGUAAAAUCCCGAUUUCACCCGGAACACUUCCGAUAUCCAAACAUAGGCUUCCAAUAUAUCAAUCUUUAUGUCUCGGCCAUUUCGAGACUCCUCGUCAUGUCCGUGAUCACAUCCGGGACUCCGAAAAACCUUCGGUACAUCAAAAUGUAUAAACUCAUAAUAUAACUGUCAUCGUAACCUUAAGCGUGCGGACCCUACGGGUUCGAGAACAAUGUAGACAUGACCGAGACUCGUCUCCGGUUAAUAACCAAUAGCGGAACCUGGAUGCUCAUAUUGGCUCCUACAUAUUCUACGAAGAUCUUUUAUCGGUCAGACCGCAUAACAACAUACGUUGUUCCCUUUGUCAUCGGUAUGUUACUUGCCCGAGAUUCGAUCGUCGGUAUCCCAUACCUAGUUCAAUCUCGUUACCGGCAAGUCUCUUUACUCGUUCUGUAAUACAUCAUCCCGCAACUAACUCAUUAGUUGCAAUGCUUGCAAGGCUUAAGUGAUGUGCAUUACCGAGAGGGCCCAGAGAUACCUCUCCGACAAUCGGAGUGACAAAUCCUAAUCUCGAAAUACGCCAACCCAACAUGUACCUUUGGAGACACCUGUAGAGCUCCUUUAUAAUCACCCAGUUACAUUGUGACAUUUGGUAGCACACAAAGUGUUCCUCUGGCAAACGGGAGUUGCAUAAUCUCAUAGUCAUAGGAACAUGUAUAAGUCAUGAAGAAAGCAAUAGCAACAUACUAAACGACCGGGUGCUAAGCUAAUGGAAUGGGUCAUGUCAAUCAGAUCAUUCAACUAAUGAUGUGAUCCUGUUAAUCAAAUGACAACUCUUUGUCCAUGGUUAGGAAACAUAACCAUCUUUGAUCAACAAGCUAGUCUAGUAGAGGCAUACUAGUGACACUCUGUUUGUCUAUGUAUUCACACAUGUAUUAUGUUUCCGGUUAAUACAAUUCUAGCAUGAAUAAUGAACUUUUAUCAUGAUAUAAGGAAAUAAAUAAUAACUUUAUUAUUGCCUCUAGGGCAUAUUUCCUUCAACUAGUAGAUCGAAGUUUUAUCUCUGUGAUGACGGAUCCGUAGUGCCCCUGGUUUCCAUUUAUAAUGUCAUCAACAACUUGCUUGCAGUCCGAGGAAAUAAUAAGAUCAUGCACAAGAAGAUCCUCCGCGAACGCCAACGCUUCUCUGACCGCAAUUGCCUCAAGAGUGGCUGGAUCAAUCUGUCCAUCAAUGACCAGGGAGGAACUCCCUAGAUAGUUGCCCGCAUCAUCUCGGCAGAUAGCAACGGCCGAGCCGCCCCGGUUUCGAUAGACCGCUCCAUCAGUGUGUAUCUUGGCAUACCCCUGCGGGGGAGCUUUUGGUCUUGCAUGUGCCUUCCUCAUCUCCCAAGGGGCUGACUGCAAAGUUGUCUGCUUUCCAUCCUGUAGAAGAUCGAGCUCGGCAAUGAACCGCUCAAUGAACGAGUGUGUGGAAAGUGGACUCUGGAUAAUACCUUCGCUUCGUGCGUGGCUGCCGCUGUUGCAGUUUGGGCUGCAAUUGAGUCAUGGGCCAAAUCAUCACCGUAUAAUACAUGUAGUAUAUUUUUUUUACACGAGAAUCUUUGGUAUUCCAGGGAAGUUCCAGGAAUACCCCCAGCGCCGCCGAUGCGUUCAAACCGCCAAAACGUCUCAUAUUUAGGAACAAAGGAUGUUGAUUGGUGCGACUGGGGGUAGAAGGGUGACAUGCUUGCUGCCUUCAGGAAAUGCCUUUGAAGUAUUUUAUGGUACUCCCUCCGUCCCAUAAUGUAAGAUGCUUUUUUUGACACUACACUACACUAGGGACAGAGGGAGUAGUUAUUAUUUAUUAAGGGGUUGCAUUUUCUUAACGCAUAACAUGACCAUAGAGACAAGGUGUUGCGUUUUGCAGGUGUCAUAUAUUGGGACUCAAGAGGAAAGGCCAAGGACCAGGGCCAUGCUGCCUUUGAUCUUUGCUAGAAGAAUUGUGCUAUUUUUUGGCCAAGGAAAGCUCAAGAAAAAGAAUCAAUGUUAAACUUGUUUGAAUAUUAGUUACCCUACUGGGUUCUUUUGCCUUUUCACCGGGUCUUUUUAUCUUUUGGAAUUCCACAUGUGCCAUUAUGUACUCUUAGGCAGCCUUAUGACUGUCUACCUUCAGAUUCGUUUUGCAAAAUGAGCGGGAGAAAGGGUUCAAGAUGAUGGUAUGAUCUGUGAAAUUUAAAUGUAUAUUUUGAAACUAAUAAUGAAAUUAAAAUGUUUUAUGUUCGCCCUAGAAACCCAGUUAUGGACUGAUUUGCUGUUCACCCCACAAAGGCAAACGGGAAAUUACCUUAAUUGCCAUCCAUUAUGUGGUAAAUGUAUACAUCAAGAUAAUUGUUACUACUGAGCACAAAGCAAUACAUUUUUUCGGUAGCAAAUCACAAAGCAUUGUCUAGUGAUGGACAAUAAUAUAAGCUGACAAAGGGUAAUGGAGACCUAAUGUUGUUUCAUGUAGUGCAAUAACCAAUAACAGCUUAAUUGCUGCUACAAACAGAAUUCUAAGUUCGAAACUAUGGCCUCCUAACACAAUCAGCAAAAUAGCAAGAGUCAGGCCAGUCUCGGAGAAAAUCAGAUGUGAGUAUGUGACUGUGUGAAGUUCGUAAAUAGCACUGCAUAUAACAACAGCUUCAACCAUCCAGGUUCCAUGUGUACAAUGACUACAGAGUACUUGCAACUCUUGUCAUCAGAUGUAUUUCACUCAAAAGGGGGUAAAAAGACUAAGAAAACAAGCACGUUUAGCAGUACAUCCUUGGAAAUAACCAAAGCCCAGAUUAUUUUGGUCAACAAACAUGAUCUAAGUUACACCGCUCAACCUAGUUAAUGUGGCAGCUUGGCAAUCGACCUGGAGUUUGCACGGUGUUCUGUUGUUCUUCACAACAAGCCUCUAGGGUUUAGUUCCACCUUGGGUAAUGGACGUCGCGAGAAGACUGGGAUGGCUGCACGCUCUGGCUGUUGGCACCAAUGAAGCCUUGCAGAAGGCUCUGCGCCACUCUCACUUGGUCCGGCAUACCUUGGAUCUCCAUGAUGGAUUCCGAAGAACCAGGGCGGGCUUCAAGCAACUUCAUUCUUGCACCAGAGAUCUGAGAUUGAGAACUUAUACAUGAGAAAAACUUCUAAACUAUUACAGGGAAUAAAAUAAUGAAGACUGGCUCAAUGGAUGACGCAGUCCCAUUUGUAGUUCAGAAAGAUCAGAGCAUAGCUGGUACCUGGCGGAUCUCUGCUAGAUUGACACCACCAGCUCCAACAAUAGAUUCCAGAGAACUAUUUGGAAUCCUCAGUUCAACAGAGCUACUUGAAUACCUGCCAAAAGGAUUAUCUCUCAAUGACAAUUCCCACGUAGCAUUUCAGAAGGGAGACGAGCUGCGAAAACAUACCCUGUAACAUCUGCCACUCUUUGAUAAUCCUCACGUCCAUGCAUCUGCCCGGCAGCCUGAAGAGUGAAAUUUGAAUCUAUUCAGCACUGAAGCAAAUGAGAACCAAAUAUAUUCAGAUGCACAUGUCCACGCAUGUGAAUCAGCAUGAACAGAGCCAGACAAGGAAAGUUGAUAAUAUAAGUAAAGACCGUCAACCAAUCAAGAAAACAAUGAACAUCAACAAGUUAUAGUGCACAGAAGUGACAGCUAGAAUGAUAUGAAUGCAGAUCAGUAUAACCUACGCAAACCUACGGAUAUUUUUUUCCCUCUUCAGAAAUCCCAACCAGUUAUGGAAAAAUUGCAUACACUACACAGUUUCAGGUUUCCAAUGAAAACUAUGAGGUGAGGGCCAUUUGCAAAACAGGGGAACUGACGCAUUAAACUGUACCUCAGUGUAAUCAUAAGCAUUGGAAUUUCCGGCUCUGGUGACGCCUAAUUGUUGCAUAUUACUAUUCCCAGCUCUUGAGAGGCCUAAUUGCUGCAUGCCUCUACUAGAAUAGCUAUCAGUAGGCAUAUGGUCAUGAUAAGAACGAUGCGACAUAUAAUCAGCACCAGGACUAACAGGCAAGGGCAUUUCUCUAGUAGGCAAGCGAGCAGAUGCUGCAUAUCUAUCAUAAGAAGCAGAUGGUGGAGCGUCGCUAGCAAAUGGACUUCCACUAGGAUACUCUCUUCUUUUAGAGAAAUAAUCUACUGAAUCAUGGGGUUUAUUGUUUGGUCUCCCAUAUGGUGUAUCGUUGGCAGGUCUCCCAUAUGGUGCAUCGUUGGCAGGUCUCCCAUAUGAUGCAUCGUUGGCAGGUCUCCCAUAUGAUGCAUCGUUGGCUGGUCUUCCAUAUGGUGGAUCAUUGGCUGGUCUUCCAUAUGGUGGAUCAUUGGCUGGUCUUCCAUAUAGUGGAUCAUUGGCAGGUCUUCCAUACAGUGAAUCACUGGCAAGCCCGUAUGGUUGAUCAAUGGCAAGCCGCCUUUGAUAUGGGGAAUCAUUAGCAGGCCUUCCAUAAGGGGUAUCAUUAGCAGGCCUUCCAUAAGGGGUAUCAUUGGCAAGCCUUCCAUAUGGUGGAUUGGCAGGUCUUCCAUACAGUGUGAAAUCCCUGCUAGGAAAUAUAUCAGCAGGAGGACCAUCAAAAGAGGAAAUUCCAUCUCUGAGGAUUCUAUUUCUAAGCCUCGAAGCAAUCUCUGUGAGGGCUUCUCUUGCAAUAUCUGGAGACCCAGAAACCUGAAAGCUCGGAACACAUGUAACAGCAUAAUAACAAGUCAAGAAACAAAAACAUUAAAAAGGCAGAUAUAUUGAAACAAUAUGGACAACUUGAUGCAGAUACAAUUGAAUAUAAAUCACCUGCACAAGCUCAUCGUGAAAAGAUAAGUACUUUGGUUUGUCUGCUUUUGAAUAAACUCGGAUUUCAGCCCCAAUACGCCUUCUCAUUUCAGUAAUUACCUUCCCACCUUCCCCAAUAAUACAACCAACUUUUUUUGAUGGUACAACAAGUCUUGUAACCAAUUUGUGCUCCUCAGAAGGUGCACUUUCUGAAGGUGCACUUACUGAAGGUUCACUUACUUUGCUCUCACUUACUUUACUAUGGAGCAAAAUAAGUGCCUCAAUUGUUGGGGAUACUGGAUCAGCCGGAAUCUGGAUUGAAAAAAUACAUAGGAGAUAAAACUGUGAGGACUCAAUUGUGAAGAUUGGUAUGAUAAGGAGAUAUAGCAAUUUAAACAACCAUCUACAUCUUACCUCCUUGGAUGAAAUAACAAUCAACCUUUCUCCAGAAGCAUCUUUGUGCAAUUCCUGAACCAUAAUGCGAGCACCAGUCUGCUGCUCUAACUGCCGAACAUUUGCCCCACUUCUGCCAAUAACAGGUCCAAUAAGCUCAGAAGCGCACAGAAUUUUAAUAGAAAACUCUUCUGGUUCAGGAACAGGAUAUUGCAAUGGUCCGUUUCUAUAUGGAUCAAGCAAGGGCAUUGGUGGUGGAUGAUCCACAUGCAGGUGUGGUAACAUGUGAUUUUCAUGUGGUAGCGGUGGUGGGGACUCGCGCUUCCUUUGUGUGCUUGCAUCUAUAAUUUCUUCAAGAGAUGGAUUUUCUUUACGAGGAUGCCGAUGGAGACGAGUAGAUAUCUCGUAGAGAGCUUUUCUUACAAGAGAAGGUGCACCAGAUAUCUGACAUGAUAUAAGCAAUUAUGCAUCAAUAUUAUUCAUGUCUAAAGAUAAUAAAGCACACAAAAAAGAGCAUGUUGUAAGUGACAGAUAUCUUAUUUUAACUGAACUGGCAAAUAUCUUGGUAAACUAUAAUCUAAAAAUAAACUACUCCCUCCGUUCCUAAAUAUAAGUCUUUCUAGAGAUUUCAAUAUCGACUACAUACGGAUGUAUAUAGACGUGGUUUAGAGUAUAGAUUCAUUCAUUUUGCUCCAUAUGUAGUCCAUAUUGAAAUCUCUAGAAAGACUUAUAUUUAGGAACGGAGGAAGUACAUGCUAUAUCAAUUAACCCAUGCCAGAUACCAAACUCUAAAAUCCAACUAUUUAGGAAUUUAACAGAGAAUAUAAACAUAACAGAGAACUUCUAUAGUAAAAUAAAAUGAUACAGUAGAGUAAUGAAUCCAAAUCUAAGCUAAACAAAACCAAUACAAAAGUCCCUGGAGAUCAAUACAAGCAAAAGGCAUUACAAGUUGGAACACAACACAACAAAGGAUAUUUUGCUACUAAAACAAAUUUACCUGCACCAAUUCAUCACUCUUAAGUGCACACUGAGGAAGGUUUUCGGAUGGUAAGACCCGGAUCCCUGCACCGGUAUCAUUUCGCAAUUGUUGUAUAAUAGAGCCACCUUUUCCUAGCAGGCAGCCAACUUGAUUGCCUGGAACCAAAAUUCGGGAAGUCACAUCACCAGCAGUUUCAGAAUUCUCACAGGUAACUCCAUCGUUGGAAUCUUCAUCAGCAGCAAUCUUAUCAUGUAUCUUCAACAACGCAUCUUGAGCAAAACAAUGGGGCUUCAUGUUCUCUGGGCCAUCAAUAUUAGAAAUAUUUUGACUAGCUUGUUCGGAGUUAUUUUGGUAAUCAAAUAUGAUAAUUACUCUCUCAUCUGCACCAGGAAUAGAAUCAGCAACCCGUAUCUUUGCUUUAGUCUCGUCUCUAAGGGCCUUAACAACAUGACCACCUCUCCCCAAGACACCGCCGAUCUUUUUUCCUGGGCACAAUAUCCUGUAAACGGUUUCUAUUGGCUGAGAGGACAUAUGUCCGCCAUCCUGCCUGUAGUUUAGCCGUUUCCUCUUUCCAUCAUCAGAAUUGAAACGAGUCCUCUUUUUGGAAGUACUUUGAUUGUGUCUUCUAGAGUUAUCAUAAUCCAUCAGUCUACAUAAAGAAAGGUCCAUCAAUAUAAAGAAAUUGUAGAGGUAGCAAAGAAGGUGUGGGGCGCCCUACGAUUCCAUUACUCCAUUAGCUGUCUGAUUAUGACACAUGCAUAACCUUCUCGCUUGUGCGUACCUCAAAAUUGAGAUAUUGCUGAUAAAUGCUCAUGUUGCUACUUAGACCUACGGAAAACUGCUGUAGGUUGUUCACAAGUGCAAGAAAAGGUAUAAUUUUUUGUAGUCAAAUGACUGUUUACAGGUAGGUUACCAGAUUCAAAUCUAUUAACUGUACUAAACUAAUAAGAUCCUCACGGUUUCAUCCAGAGCUCCCACCUACUGUAUUUCAUUCAGAUGAAACACUACCACUAUGUAAUUGGCACAAAGAAACAUGGUGCAUGUAACACUGCAUAAACAGAGUAUCAAUCGGGAAGAACUUGGAGUUUGGAGUGCAAGUCCAGUGCAAGAAUUAGUCAUAGUAAUUUGAACGAAUAGUGAAAGCAAGCACUUAAAGAUGAAAUAUGCAGAGGGCAUAGUGGUGAUAAAUGACUUAACAUCAUAACAUAGCUUUACAACGGGAAGGUAAAACUGCAUAAAACUUAACCAAUCAUAAUUGCAUAGAGAUCUGAAUGGUACUCCCUCCGUCAGAAAAUACUUGUCAUCAAUAUGGAUAAAAAUGGAUGUAUCUAGAACUAAAAUACAUCUAGAUACAUCCCCUUUUAUUCAUUUUGAUGACAAGUAUUUCCGGACGGAGUAUAAAAUAAGUACGCAACCAUAAUUCUGUCAGUUUAUGGAUGCAAAGAUGUCCUAGCUUUACAAUGGUAGAAGGACUGUUAGGCAACUGGAAAGAUAAGGCUUGAAUUUAUAGUAUGUACAGAAUAACAUCAAGAGAAGCUACAGUGCUGAGCGAAUAAGGCCAAAUAUCCAUAGAAAGGAAAAAAAAAGGCAUCCUAGCAUAUGGGACUUGCAGCAGCUCCAUGUGAAGUGAAAUCUACAGUAACUUGGCUUUGCAUCUAUAAGUGGUAAGAGUUGAUGGUGAUAAUUAUAGCGCAUCAGCCCACCACAUAAAGCAACAUGCCAAAUUCACAAACACAUAACCAAAUAAGCAAACAGGUGCGCUAAAUUGACCUAGCCCUUUUCAGCACGCUUAUAUAUAUGACUUGAAGAAACUCCACUGAUCUAGGUCAGAAGAACAAGCAAAAGACGACAGUUUGACCUCGCAUAUCAGCUCACUACCUCAUCCAGCCAUAAAAUUUUGUUUGGCAAACUGAAGGAUCUCGACCUGGAUUCAGAAAAGGCGCCAGAUUGACCACACAAGUCCAGGCGUGUGGGCAGAAUUGCUCACACGCACAGCUUCAGUCACACCCAUCGAAGACGCCAAACAAAAGAAGCAGUAUUUACAUCCCCCGCGACACAAUCUCCAUCCUUGGGGACCGGCAUAUCGCAUCACAAACCUAGUUUCUAGUGCCGGAUCUAGAUGGUGCGUCGGCUGUCGCGCCCAAAAUUCCUGCGGGCUAACUUAGGGUGGGAGCAAUUCCCUGGAUAACAAGAAGCUCGUACCUUCAAACUAAUGACGAAGAUGGCGGCGUCGGCGGCGGCGGCUGGGGGAUACGGCAGGGCCGCGGUGCCGCGAUAAGGUUGGAGGCGGCGACGCGCGUGACAGGGGUGGGGUUGGGAGCUUAGGGGUGUGAGGCGUGGGCGGUGCCACGGCAAGGCGGCAGCUUGG